AUGUGUGAUGUGUGAUGUGUACAAGUGUGUGGUGUGUGGUGGUGUGAUGUGUGGAUGUAUGGUGUAUUCCAUGUUGGCUCUUAGGGUUUUGUAUGACUUGGGCAGGUGUGUGAUAAAUGGUGUGUGGAUGUGUGGACAUGUGGUGUGUGGAUGUGUGGUGUGUAGAUGUGUAUGUGUUGGUAGAUAUGUUUGUUUGUGGGUGAGGUGAUAGUGGAUGUGUUUGUGUGUGGGUGUUGCUGAUGGUAGAUGUGUUCAUUUGUGGAAAGACAUUGUUGAUGAUUUGUGGCAUUAUUUUUUUGUAGCUCUCGGGGUUUAUGCUAAUUAUUUUUUUUCAUUCUAGUUUCGCAAUGGUUCAAACCAAAGAGUCUGGUUCAUCUACGAUACGGGAUAAGGAUACAAAGAUAAUAUUUUGCGUCUUUCCCUCGGGGUCAAUUGAGAAAUAGGUCGACAACUUAAUUCAAAAAGAAGAGUGAUAAAAUAUUAUUAGAAAAUUCAAGGAAAGUACAGACAGAGAAUAUGAUAGGAUGUUAUUAAAAAACAAGUGUGAUCAGCUAAAUAAUGAUUGAAGAAUCUGUAAGGAAUUGAAGCGAGGAUCAACAGGCUUUGGGUGGGAUUCAGUAAAGUGAACUAUUGAUGCUUCCAAUGCGUGGUGGGCAGAGAGACUGACGGUGGUGUCUGCUACGAAAAAAUUUAAAUGUAAUGGAAUCGUUCAUGAGUUGAAGGAGAAGUUGGAUUGUAUGUUUGGAGGUGUCAUGACGAGCAAUAAUGCAUGUGCCUCCAAUGAAGUGGGGUUUGGUGGCAUCCCUGGAAAUUUGGGAGCUGUUCAAACAAGUGAUUCCAAUGAAGGCUAUAUCCCAAAUCUUCAUGAAGUUGAGUUCAAGAGCAGGUUAAGGCAUCCCUGGGUUGAAAUAAAAAAGUGGGAGCUACUUUUUUUAGAAGUCAAAUAUCACAGUUGGUGGUUUCAUGCACCAAUGGUCCCAACCCAUCACAAGAAACUUUGGUCCAACAGGUUAUGCAAAUUCUGGAGGCAACUCCAGAAAUUUACAAUGUUAUGCUGUUAUAUUUGUUUUCUAUGAAGUUGCUUGAAGAUUCGACCUGGAGAGUUUUUCAUGACGAUGACUGCUGACUGUAUGGUGGUUUAUCUACGUUAUUUUCAUGACAGCAGUGACGUUUGAAGGACACUUUUUUCUAUUGACAUUUCAUAUUUGCUAUUUGUUUAUUUACUUCGAACAUUUUUAUUUGCUUAUGAUUUUUCAUAUUACUUUGGAUAUUUAUGUUGCUUUGGACAUGUCAUUUAAGAUUUUUUCAUCCAUCGUUUAUAUUUUUUAUUUACUGUUGUCAUGUUAGUUCUUUUUAUAGGGCUCUCUUUGUGGAUAUGCUUCCAAAGCAUUUUCGAGCCAAUAUCGUUUCAAACGUAAUGUCAAAAUACAUAGAUGCAACUAAAGAAAAGCGCAGAAGGAGAUUUAUUAUUGUAGUAUGUUUGAUGUACGAUUAUUAUAACUCGUACAUAGAGCGCUCCCCUUGCAUAACAUCCUCAUAUAUUGGCGACAAAUGGGUUGGGGAGUUGCUUGCGGGCCAACCAACAAGAUUUAACAAUACGUUCUAAAUGACACAGAUGAUAUUCACCAAUCUCUUAGAAGAACUACACAGAAAUCAUGAAGUUCAUGGCUCAUUCAGAAUGACUUUACGAUAGGUGUUAUCAAUAAUCAUCUACAUAUUAUCGCAACAUGAAUCAUUGUGUGGAGUUAUGGAGCAAUUCUAGCACUUUCGAAACAAUUUGCAGAUACUUUUUAGUAGAUUUGAAUGCACGUCAAUUUUUCUUCUCAAGUCUUAAAUCCCACUGAUCCUACAUUGGAAUGGACCCCCACAGAGAUUUUACACGAUGCACAGUAUAUGUAUAUUUUAAAGUAAUUUUUAUUUAUUACAUUCAAUUCUCAUAUGAUAUCGUAAUUACGCGUCCUUCAUUAUAUUUUUAGAAUUGUUAUGGAGCAAUCGAUAAAACACACAUUGAUACAUGUGUUCCAAAUAAUUAGAAGAUCGCAUUCAUCGACCAUUUUGGGUCCCCGAGCAACAUUUUAUGACGGUAUGCAACUUCAACAUGUGUUUUAAUUUUGUCAUGGCCGGUUGUGAGAGCAGUGCACAUGACAAUCGAAUUUUCAAAUCUGCAACACGGAAUAAUAAAUACAACUGCCCACAUCUACCUACAAGUUCGCUUGAAACUCAGUUACUCUCCUAAUAGAGGAGGAAUAUGCCGUGAGAACCAUAUGAAGGGUACGUUGUUGGACAUGAGAGGUCGAUGGACUCGCAGAGAUUUGAUUGGCUCCAAAAAAAUUGAUCAAUUGCUCCAUAUGGUGUUUUAUAAAUUUAGAGGAAUCUGGGUUGUUCUGGGUAGGAGUCGGUUGAGUUGCGCCUUGUUUGGGCUUCAACGUGUGCCCCUUGACAGUAGAGGAUUUGGUCGAAGGUUUGUAUGUCGGCUUACCGUGAAGUGUCCAACACUUGUUCCGGGUGUGGUUGGGUUUGUGACAGGAAUUACAAGCGGGAUAAGAACUAUUUAUGAUCAAAGCGGACGACUCAGCUGAAUUUGUGGAAGUUUCGAGCAUAACAAGUCUUCAGCUUUCUUCCCGACGAAUCUCAGUAAAAGUAGCUCAAGCGGAAAGAAGAGGAUCCCUACCAAGAAUACAACCUCUAACUUCGUCAAGAUCUUUGUUUAGACUAGGAUGAAAUUAGAACAUACAAUACUUUUUACGAUCUUCUAGAAGUGGGAUAAGUCGGCGGGAGAAUCCCAAGUGUAGUCGUAGUACAAAUAGCAUUCCGUCCAUAAAACAACUAGGUCAUUAUAGUACUGGGUCACUGUUCUAUACUUCUGCUUUGACUCAUGGAUCUUCAAAGAUACUUCAUAGAGUUGAUCAAAAUUUUCUACAUCCGAAUAGGUAUCACGAACAACCGUCUAAAGAGCACUAGCAGAAGGAAGGAGCCUGUACGAGCGCCAGUUGAAGUCUCUAUGGAGUUGAUCAGUCGUGACAUGACCAUGAAGUUUUGCACUUCCCAAGCUCCAUAUGAUGGGUCAGUCUUUGGAGGCUCACGAAUCAUAUCUGUGAGGUGACCAAACUUUUAACUUCCUUUGAUGAACAAAGACACCGCUGGAGAUCAUUGGAGGAAGUUAGUCUCGUUCAACUUAUGAGUUGCGAUCAAGAAAUUUAUAUUGGCUUUCAAUUCUCUGGUCUGCAAGGGAGCGGAGGUUGGAGUCGAUCCUCCGGUGGAGUCAAAAAUGUCUUUUGAGAGGUGAUUAAUUGAAGGAAUCGACCAUAAUUUCUACUGAGCCAAAGGAUAUGUUGUUUUGGUUCUGAGCCAUUGAUGAAUUUUGGUAGAAUCACGACAAACGAGUACAACAAUACAAAUUGUAGGUAGAAGGACAACUCCCGGGAUACUUUCAACAGAACAGCGGAAAGAUCUUUUGUUCCCUGGAGAUGGAGCGGCAAAAUCAUUUCCAGGAAGUAGAAGUCCUCUAGCAGACAACAACAUGAGAAAUCUGGCAGGUGAAAUAUGGCGGCAGAUCUUCUAUUCGUUAGACCCUGGAGUAAGAGCGGCAGAUCUUCUGUUCCCUGGAGGAAGAGCAGCAGAAUUCUGUGGAUAGGCACUGAUCUUCUGCGACAUAACAGAGAGAAACCUGCGAACUGAGCCAAGACAAAUUCUUCUGGAAUUUCUGCAGUUCGGAUGCCGGCUAGGAGAAGAAGGUGAGGCAGAGGCUGCUGGAAUCGGAUGUUGGGGGCUGCUGGAUCUAUGUUUACGCUUUGAUACCAUGUUGAAUUUGGAAUAGACCAGAUAAUUU